CCGAACUGAAGUUCCGCCCCUCCUUUCAGCCGACCCUGAAAAAAAAACAAAGGACUCGCGUGGGACCAGUGAAGAGUCACAAAUCCCGCGAAGCUGUGGGGUGUGGGGUGCUGAUGAGCUUCAGGCACCAUCACAAGUCCAGUUAUUCACAAGAUUUUUUCACCUUCUCGUUGGGAUUCUGGCAAGGUAGUCAACUGAAACUGAGAAUCAUUCCCCAACAGGAUAAAAGAGUCAUGGGGCUGGAUUUAAUGCAGACCAUCACAGUGGGAACCAUGGCAACCUAGCUCACUUAAUCAUGGGAGAGGCCCCAUGUCAACCUCCCGACGGCAGGAGAACCUCCCUCCAUUAAGUUGGAGGGUAGAAAGGACUGACGCUGGAAGUUUCAUGAAGCUGAAUUAAGUGUUUGUCCCCAUAUGAAAGCAAUAAACUCAGUUUAAACAA